GGGGGGGGGGGGGGGGGGGGGGAGAAUGUUUUGGGGGAAGGGAAAAAAAAAAAAAAAAAAAAAAAAAAAAAAAAAAAAAAAAAAAAAAAAAAAAAAAAAAAAAAACCCUAACCAAACCAAACAGAAAA